UGCGUAGGCGGUAUAUCAAGUCAGAUGUGAAAUCCCCGGGCUUAACUCGGGACGUGCAUUUGAAACUGGUAUACUUGAGUAAAGAAGAGGUAAGUGGAAUUCCUAGUGUAGCGGUGGAAUGCGUAGAUAUUAGGAGGAACACCAGUGGCGAAGGCGACUUACUGGUCUUUUACUGACGCUGAGGCACGAAAGCGUGGGGAGCGAACAGGAUUAGAUACCCUGGUAGUCC
rnacentral:rRNA from 1 species